rnacentral:rRNA from 1 species
UACGGGAGGCAGCAGUGGGGAAUAUUGCACAAUGGGCGCAAGCCUGAUGCAGCCAUGCCGCGUGUAUGAAGAAGGCCUUCGGGUUGUAAAGUACUUUUCAGUCGUGAGGAAGGUGUUAAGGUUAAUAACCUUAGCAAUUGACGUUAGCGACAGAAGAAGCACCGGCUAACUCCGUGCCAGCAGCCGCGGUAAUACGGAGGGUGCGAGCGUUAAUCGGAAUUACUGGGCGUAAAGGGCACGCAGGCGGUUAAUUAAGUUGGAUGUGAAAUCCCCGGGCUUAACCUGGGAAUGGCAUUCAAGACUGGUUAGCUAGAGUCUUGUAGAGGGGGUAGAAUUCCAUGUGUAGCGGUGAAAUGCGUAGAGAUGUGGAGGAAUACCGGUGGCGAAGGCGGCCCCUGGACAAAGACUGACGCUCAUGUGCGAAAGCGUGGGGAGCAAA